CUGAAACGUGGAUCCACGAUUUUGAAAAGCAAAUGAUAUAUUUCUUCUUUUUCUUUCCCAGGGGCCCCUUUCUUGUUGGCUGAUCAGCGUUUUUUUUUUAAUCUGUUGUAAAAAGACACUAAAGGCUUGCGUUAAUGACAUGCAAAUAUACUUUAAAUAUUCUUCAUACUCAUUGUAAUAUCACACAUCAUCUUAUAGCACAGAAAACAUGUAGCAGAUAUCCAGCAGACAUGCCAAUACAAAAAGCAUAUUCAUGGACAGGCAAUUAACUCAAUCCAAAAUAAAUUAAUAAAUGUCACACUAUGUGACGGACAUAAUUUGGUUCUCAUAUUUGUGCAUUAUGCAUGUCUGCAAACAAUGCAAGCAGUACUGCUUUAAGAUUAGAUCAGAGCACCUGGCAACUGGACAGGAAAGUCAAAUUUUGGCAGGAAGUCCAUUAUUGCAACAGAAUUUUGGAAAUCAGCUAAAAUUUACAAAAACAGACUCCCUCUUUUUUUCUUUCUUAAGACUACAACUCAUAUUGCUCUUGGACAAGUAUUCAAUAAUAAAUCAGUUAUUUAAUAGAUUAUUACGCUGCCAUUUUCAUCUGUAUCAAUACUAAGACAAAUUUAUUCAAAUAUAAUUUAAAAUAACAGCAAAAUACCUAUUAACAUACAUGACAAUUAAACUGCGCACUUCAAAAUGAGUAACCAAAACAAACAUUUAUGACAAUCAUCAUUCACACAGAAUAAACUUCUAACAGCUGUAUUCAGAACAUAUUAUUGUAAGGUAUACCAAUUUUAGUUUGUAUUGGAUUUAUUUAAGAUUUCUGGUACCAAAGGGUUUAUUUUUUAUUUUUUUAAAGAAGGGAUCCCGUAUGGCUAUAUAACACGUUUGACUUAAACAUUUGUAUAACACUUGCAUUAACCAGUUGCGACAUAUGAAACCUGUCAAUGGAAUUUCUCUCUUAUACGCUUAUAGAACAUUUGGGCCAGAUUACACAGACAUGGUAUCACCUGCAUUUGUCAGAACUCUCAAAGACUCAAAAUAUUUAUACUACUCCAUGUUAAAGGCAUGGCAAAAUUUUGACCGGUCAAUUUGAGUUUCCAAAAGUCAUAUCAACACAGGUAAAAACCUUUGUCCAUGGUUUUCUGAUCCUACAUUCCAUGACCAAAAUUUCAAACCCACUUCUUCACAGUUUGGGUCGCAAGCAAUAAAAUCUCAGCAACCCCAUACAAUAAUU